rnacentral:rRNA from 1 species
GACGAACGCUGGCGGCGUGCUUAACACAUGCAAGUCGAACGGAAAGGCCCUGCUUUUGUGGGGUACUCGAGUGGCGAACGGGUGAGUAACACGUGAGUAACCUGCCCUUGACUUUGGGAUAACUUCAGGAAACUGGGGCUAAUACCGGAUAGGAGCUCCUGCUGCAUGGUGGGGGUUGGAAAGUUUCGGCGGUUGGGGAUGGACUCGCGGCUUAUCAGCUUGUUGGUGGGGUAGUGGCUUACCAAGGCUUUGACGGGUAGCCGGCCUGAGAGGGUGACCGGCCACAUUGGGACUGAGAUACGGCCCAGACUCCUACGGGAGGCAGCAGUGGGGAAUAUUGCACAAUGGGCGGAAGCCUGAUGCAGCAACGCCGCGUGCGGGAUGACGGCCUUCGGGUUGUAAACCGCUUUCGCCUGUGACGAAGCGUGGGUGACGGUAAUGGGUAAAGAAGCACCGGCUAACUACGUG